rnacentral:lncRNA from 1 species
UUCCCUCUUCUUUUUCCCCGGGCCCCGAAACGGCAAGGCAGAGGUCGCCCACUUUCCGAAGAGGCGAAGAGAACCAGGAUAUGCCCGGGCGCCUCCUCAGCGGCUAGCGAGCAUCUCGUCGUGGCUGGCGGAGGCGCGCCGCCGCCUACGGAUCCGGCUGUUACUCCAGGGGGCGCUUCCCGGGGUCCAGCAAAGGCCUGCAGCGCUAGUAUUCUAGGCGCAAGAGCGGGGGCGAGGAGGAGGAGGAGAGGCACAAAGGAGAAAGGCCGAUGCGAAGCUCUGAAUCGCAGCAGCGGCGCCGGCCCAGAGCGCGAGGACUGGAGGACCCGCCCCUGGGCCCGCCUCACGGGCUUGGCUUGGCAAGGCUGAGCGCCUCCGACGCCCAGCCUCCGUGGCCGAGCCCGGCCCUAGUACCGCCCGGAGUGGGCUGGGCGGCGGCGAGAAAAGCGCCAAACAUGGACGGAGAAGAAGAUGCUCGCGGCCCGAGCAGCCCCAAAAGGAGACGCGGCGGGAGGGGGCGCUGCCAAGUUGGAAACCCCGCCGGAGCGGUCAGACGGGCAGCCUCGGUUCCCCGUUUUGAAGUUGACUUUUCCUUACAAGAUGUUGCUUGCAAAAAGGUUGCUACGGAAGAGAAGAAGCGAUGAAGGAAAUGUGAAGCAUUACUACAUCUUCAUUAUCAUUUUGAAAGCAGCUCCAUGUGAAGCCACUGAAAUGUUAUUAAGCUCCAGAUCAAAUAAAGGAAUAAUGGAAGGCAGAACUGCCACCGAUCCUGCUUGGUCCUGCUCCUGUGCUUUUAGCAGGAGCUUGACAAAAGAAAGGAGGUGCCUACAACUUUACUCAUCAGAAGCUUUGUCUGGUUUUUUUCCUGUGUGCNUGGAAUGCUGGGAGUGAAAUGCUGGGAGUGGAAUUCUGGGAGUUCAGGAGCAUCUGGAGGGAUGCAAGUUGAAAAGCCCUGCUUUAUGGCUGGCAUCAGGAUGCUGCUGAAAAUGAGCGAGGAAAAAUCAAAACUCACUCCCAUUAUCAAGCUAGUAUAACAGACUGUAGAAUUUGGCCACAAUGGAAUUACUUACCUUUCAGUUCCGAAUUAUGCAAGGUCAACUUCCAAAACUUUCAUUUGUGGUUAUCUGGCAACCUUUGAUUGAGUCUGGUAUAACAAUGGAUACUGUUUAUCNUCCUUUGACAGAAACUCUUAAUUGGUUACUAUCUUAAUCUUAUUUUACUAUUUAAACAUGUUAGUUGACAGUGCAUAGUUCAAAAUGUUUGUUAAUUAUUAUUAUGUUACUCUCUAUGUAUAAUUGUAUUCUUUAUAUACUAAUUUGUUAAUAAAAAUACAACAUAAAAAAAAAUGAACGAGGAU